UUGUAAAUUCUAGAAUGCUAUAUUAAUGUUGAGUAUUCUUAUUAUGAUGACAUUGACAAAGGGAACUCUUAGGGAAGAAAAUUCACUCUACCAAUGCAAGUUAUCCCUUCUCACAAACACUGCCUAAAGCCCUGAGGGAAGAAGAUUGAGAAAGAAGAAUGGAAAGCAGAAUGUCCAGAAUGUCUAAGACCUCAAUGCUAUACCAUGAGAUGAUGGAUCAAAGAAUGGGAUGUGUUUAAUCUGGAGAACAAAAGCCUUAUUGGAAAGAUUAUUGCUCUCUUCAAAUAUUUUCAAGGCUGUCAUAUGGAAGUGAAUUAGCCUCUAUGACUCUAGUGGGAAGAUGGCAACAAUGAACAGAGAUUAAGAAACAAAAUUACAUUCAAGGAAUCCUCAUAUUACCAGUGGAGGUGUUUGCUCCCUUUUCAAGGCAAAGGUGAAGGAGCUAAACCCUAGCUUUGCUGGCCUAGGGCUUCUGACCCCUUUUUUUUGAGAGAAGGGAGACUUUUCAAUUAUUUCCCAGAGUGAUGCUACCCAGGAUAAAUAUCAUGGUUUGAGCCAUGUGGCAAUGGGGCAAACAACAAAGGAACAACAUCCACUGCUAUGACAUCAACCAGAAUUUGAGGGACCAUAAAAAAAGAGAUCUUGUGGUCCCACUGCUUAGCCAGCCACUCUAGUAAAACUUGGUUGUAAUUGCUCUGAAUAAUGAAACACUGAUAAAGAAUACAGAAUAGGAGACAAACCAGGUGACAAAGUGGUUUUUGUCAUUCUUCUUU